rnacentral:rRNA from 1 species
AACGAACGCUGGCGGCAGGCUUAACACAUGCAAGUCGAACGCCCCGCAAGGGGAGUGGCAGACGGGUGAGUAACGCGUGGGAAUCUACCCAGUUCUACGGAACAACAGUUGGAAACGACUGCUAAUACCGUAUACGCCCUAAGGGGGAAAGAUUUAUCGAAAUUGGAUGAGCCCGCGUUGGAUUAGCUAGUUGGUGGGGUAAUGGCCUACCAAGGCGACGAUCCAUAGCUGGUCUGAGAGGAUGAUCAGCCACACUGGGACUGAGACACGGCCCAGACUCCUACGGGAGGCAGCAGUGGGGAAUAUUGGACAAUGGGCGCAAGCCUGAUCCAGCCAUGCCGCGUGAGUGAUGAAGGCCUUAGGGUUGUAAAGCUCUUUCAGUAGGGAAGAUAAUGACGGUACCUACAGAAGAAGCCCCGGCUAACUUCGUGCCAGCCGCCGCAGUAAGAC